rnacentral:Y_RNA from 1 species
GGCUGGCCUGAGCGCAGUGGUUUUUUUCAAUUAAUUGAUCACAUCCAGUUACAGAUUUCUUUGCUCCUUCUCCACUCCCACUGUUUCGCUUGACUAGCCUAAA